rnacentral:rRNA from 1 species
AUGUGGAACAAUGUAGAUCUCAAAAGUGACCAGCCAUGUGAGCUAUCACACCAAUUCAUAAAAAAGAUUACAAAUGAUUACGACCAGCAGCUAAUAGUUGGCAAUGGUGCAUUCGGAACAGUUUUCAAGGGUAUUUGUGAGAAUGGAGAAGAGGUUGCUGUGAAGGUACUUAAGAACAUGACAGGAAUUGAUAAUAAGGAAUUUCACAAGGAGUUCGAGAACCUUAGGAGGCUCAAGCAUCAAAAUGUCGUCCAGCUAUUGGGUUUCUGCAAUGAAGCAGAGAAAGUACUUGUAGAAAAUACUGGGAACCAACUUAUUGCUGACGAGAUGCAUACGGCGCUCAUCUUUGAAUAUGUACGCAAUGGUAGCCUUGACAAUCAUAUGUCAGCUGACGGAUGCUCAGGACUUAAUUGGCAUAAACAAUACACAAUAAUCAAAGGGAUCUGUCAAGGUUUAGAAUAUCUUCGGCAUGGAUUGGAGCGUUCAGUAUGGCAUUUGGAUUUAAAGCCUGGUAAUAUCUUGCUAGAUAACAAUAUGAUCCCGAAAAUUGCAGAUUUCGGAUUAUCGAGACUCUUGGGUAAUGACAAAUCAAGAAAGACAAUUAAUAACGUCGGUACAAUUGGUUACUUGCCCCGAGAGUAUAUAGAUUAUGGUCUAAUCUCAGAACAGUUCGAUAUAUAUAGCUUGGGGGUUAUAAUUGCAAAGUUAAUGGCCGGAUGUGAAGGCUACUUCGAUAUUGAUGACAUGGGAGAAAAAGGAUUUGUCAAGCAUGUACAUAACAAUUGGAGGAAAAGGCUACGUGCUACGUUGGCCGCGAGGCCACUUGAAGUAUAUUGUGAACAAGUCAGGACGUGCAUUAACAUAGCAGUAAAAUGCAUGAACCGCAGGCGACAAGAAAGACCCACCAUACAGUCCAUCGUCUCUGAUCUGAUAGAGACGGAAAUAAUGAUUGGUAACCUACGGCUGGAGACAGAACUGUUCCUUGACGAAGAACACAACCUUCCCGAGGGAGGCAUCCAAGAUAGAACACCUAAUAUGGCCUCUGAAUCAAGUAGAUGUAAAAGCAUAGAUGGUCGGGCGAAAUUGAAGGAAGUGCCGUUACAACUAUUGAAGAGAAUUACAAAUGAUUUCUCUGUGGAGCGAAUACUCAGUAGUGGAGGAAGUGUUUAUAAGGGAAUUCUGGAAGAUGGCGAAGUGGUUGCUGUAAAGAAACUUCAGGAAAAUACGCUAGUUGCAGAUGACAAAGCAUUUAUUAAAGAGGUUACAAGUGUUGCCGCCCUCAUCAAACAUGAAAAUGCACUCCAGUUGGUUGGCUUCUGCCAUGGCAAAAAGAAGAAAUUAGUGCCGUCGGAUAACAAAUUUAUUACUGCAGAAGUUACGCAAAGUUCCCUAUGCUAUGAACAUUUACCUACAGGAAGCCUUGAGAGGAAUCUUUUUGAAGUACCCACAAAAAUGGACUGGGAGACACGCUUCAAAAUAAUUAAAGGGGUUUGCAAUGGUUUGCUCUUUCUACAUAGCACUUCUAUUGUCCAUAUGGAUCUCAACCCUGGAAACAUACUAUUGGAUAAUAACAUGCGGCCAAAAAUAGCGGACUUUGCUCUCUCGAGACUCUUCUGUCAUGAAGCAACACGACUUUGCACGCAGACUGUUGUGGGAUCAUAUGGAUACAUGGCUCCGGAAUAUCUAUACAGAGGUGAAAUCUCCACCAGGUCAGACAUUUACAGUUUAGGCAUGCUCAUCAUAGAGAUCACUGCAGAAGAGAAAAAUCUUUCGAGGAAGGAGAAACAACCAUCUGGACGGACAUUUAUUGACAAUGUACGUAAAACUUGGACACGUGAACAUAUCGCGUCAUUGUACUCAUCCUCGCCCCCCCAGCACCUCCAUGAAGUCGAAGCAUGCAUCGAAAUUGGACUGAAGUGUACAUCAAUUGAUCGGCGCAGCAGACCUUCCAUAGAAGAAAUCGUCGAGACGCUCAACGGCCUUCCGCAGAUAGGCUGUGAUGGCCUUCUCAGCCUCCAAUCCCGGCGGGUAAACUUCCCUAUGGAGCCAAGAAGGUUGACCUCCAGCUCGGUUUACCUAGUGAACAACACGGAUGCCCUUAUUGCCUUCAGGCUUGCAACCGAACUCCCAAGGAGGUACCUUACAAAGCUACCAUUUUGCGGGAUUGUGCCGCCAAAGUGCGCCAACACUUUCACCCUGAUAACACGCGAGCAGAAGAAGCCGCCACCGUCAAACAGUGACGACUGUCUGAUACUACAAAGCAGAACUGCACACAAUGAGAAUAUGGACAAUGUUUACCCAGCUAAUUAUGCGGCCCUGUUCCUUGAUACCGCUGCCGAUGAGGUGCAAGAAGCCAAAAUUGUGGUUGCCUGUGAAACUGAAACUAUCCCUGAUCAGAUCAUAGACGGCCAAAAUUAUCGUGAGGUAUUGUCCAUAGAUGUCCACCCAACCGAGCCGUGGAUCUUGACAAGCAACCAGAGGGGUUAUGUUUGCAUUUGGAACUACCAAACACAGGCAGAGGAGGGUUCUAUUGAAGUGACUAGAGAACCAGUACAUUCAGCAAAAUUUAUUGGACGAGAGGAAUGGUUUGUGGUCGGUAGUGGCGAUGGAUACAUCUAUGUGUGCGAUUAUAAUACCAUGGAAGAAGUCGUCGACAUGAUUGAAGCUCAUGAUGGUCAUCGCAUCAUGUGUCUGGCCGUGAGUCCAACUCAACCGUUUGUGCUGUCAGCAUCUGACGACCACACGAUUAAGCUUUGGGACUGGGCUAAGGAAUGGCAGUGUACCCGAACUUUUGAGGGGCACUAUGACACAGUCACACGAGUAAUGUUUGACCCCAGGAACAACGAAAGCUUCGCGAGUGCUUCCAUGGAUCACACUGUCAAGAUCUGGAAUAUUCACUCUGCGACAUGCAACAUCACUUGGGAUGGGCAUCCGGAUGGUCUACUCUGUGUUCACUACUUCCCACGGUACUUUCAGCAGUUUUUGAUUUCCGGAUCCUCAGAUGGUGCUGCAAAGAUCUGGGACCUAGAGACAGACACUUGUGUGGAUACGCUCCAAGACCAUGCAAAGGGUAUCAGUGCUCUUUGUUGGCACCCAGAACUUCGAGUGCUAGUUACUGGUUCGCUUGAUGGGACUGCACGAAUCUGGAACUGGAAAUAUGCUAGUAGUACAUACAGGCUUGAGAACAUCAUUGGAUUUAAUCUUGGCGCUGUUAACGCUCUUGGAUACCUAAAUGGGUCAACAAGGAUUGUGGUUGGAUGCCAUCAAGGAAUAGCACUGAUGGAAGUUAACGAGCUGACCGCCUGA